GACGAACGCUGGCGGCAUGCCUAAUACAUGCAGGUCGAGCGAACAGAUGAAGUGCUUGCACUUCUGACGUUAGCGGCGAACGGGUGAGUAACACGUAAGGAAUCUACCUAUAAGCGGGGGAUAACAUUCGGAAACGGGUGCUAAUACCGCAUAAUAUCUUCUUCCGCAUGGAAGAAGAUUGAAAGACGGCUCUGCUGUCACUUAUAGAUGACCUUGCGGUGCAUUAGUUAGUUGGUGGGGUAAUGGCCUACCAAGACGAUGAUGCAUAGCCGUCCUGAGAGGGUGAUCGGACACAUUGGGACUGAGACACGGCCCAAACUCCUACGGGAGGCAGCAGUAGGGAAUCUUCCGCAAUGGGCGAAAGCCUGACGGAGCAAUGCCGCGUGAGUGAAGAAGGCCUUCGGGUCGUAAAACUCUGUUAUAAGAGAAGAACAAAUUGUAGAGUAACUGCUACAGUCUUGACGGUAUCUUAUCAGAAAGCCACGGCUAACUACGUGCCAGCCGCCGCCGUAA
rnacentral:rRNA from 1 species